UACGAAGGGGGCUAGCGUUGUUCGGAAUCACUGGGCGUAAAGCGUAUGCAGGCGGGUCGUUAAGUGAGGGGUGAAAUCCCGAGGCUCAACCUCGGAACUGCCUCUCAUACUGGCGACCUUCGAGUCCGGGAGAGGUGAGUGGAACUGCGAGUGUAGAGGUGAAAUUCGUAGAUAUUCGCAAGAACACCAGUGGCGAAGGCGGCUCACUGGCCCGGUACUGACGCUGAGAUACGAAAGCGUGGGGAGCAAACAGG
rnacentral:misc_RNA from 1 species